rnacentral:rRNA from 1 species
AGCGAACGCUGGCGGCAGGCCUAACACAUGCAAGUCGAACGAAGUCUUCGGACUUAGUGGCGGACGGGUGAGUAACACGUGGGAACGUGCCUUUAGGUUCGGAAUAACUCAGGGAAACUUGUGCUAAUACCGAAUGUGCCCUUCGGGGGAAAGACUUAUCGCCUUUAGAGCGGCCCGCGUCUGAUUAGCUAGUUGGUGAGGUAAAGGCUCACCAAGGCGACGAUCAGUAGCUGGUCUGAGAGGAUGGUCAGCCACAUUGGGACUGAGACACGGCCCAAACUCCUACGGGAGGCAGCAGUGGGGAAUCUUGCGCAAUGGGCGAAAGCCUGACGCAGCCAUGCCGCGUGAAUGAUGAAGGUCUUAGGAUUGUAAAAUUCUUUCACCGGGGACGAUAAUGACGGUACCCGGAGAAGAAGCCCCGGCUAACUUCGUGCCAGCCGCCGCGGUAAUAC